rnacentral:rRNA from 1 species
UACGUAGGGGGCAAGCGUUGUCCGGAUUUAUUGGGCGUAAAGAGCGUGUAGGCGGCCUACAGGUCAGCUGUGAAAACUCGAGGCUCAACCUCGAGACGUCGGUUGAAACCGUCUGGCUAGAGUCCGGAAGAGGAGAGUGGAAUUCCCGGUGUAGCGGUGGAAAUGCGCAGAUAUCGGGAAGAACACCCGUGGCGAAGGCGGCACUCUGGGGCGGUACUGACGCUGAGACGCGAAAAGCGUGGGGAGCAAACAGGG